AUUAAUUCCUUCGCACAGUUGAUUUUCCGGAAAUUCCAAGUGCUUGGCAGGACUUUGUGGUGCUUGUUUUGAUCAGCACAAUAUGUUAUUUCUUCUUCCUUGAGAAGUUACUGCUAUUAGAGAGUACAUAUGCCGCUCUAGAGUUUUCUCUUGUGGCCAUUACUCUACAUGUUUUCUACUCUAUGAUAUGAAAUGAGGAGUAAUCUUGGCUUUUGGCAGCUUCAGUUGCAGGCAGUCUAUUCAGUAAUGAUAGAUAGCAUCAGUAUUGGGUUUUGGUGCUUCUAUGAGUCAAUGCAAUGUACAUUCCAUACCAUUCUAACCCUGCAUGAAAUGAGUAUGAUGGAGAAAUGAUGAGGCUGUAUAGGAAUAUUGUAACAACAACAAACCCAUUGGAUAUUGUAUAUGCUUC